rnacentral:lncRNA from 1 species
CCCUUCUCAUUAAACUUUGUUUUAAUGAGUCUCAAAAUUCUAUGACAGAUUUCUGGCCAAGAUGUUUCCAUUAAAAAGUACUGACUGAUUGAAUUAUUAAUUAUUUUAAGGAUUUAUUUAUUUAUUUGAGAAGGAGAGCACUCUCAAUUUAUUUGAGAGGGAGAGGGAGAGAGAGGGACUCUCAAACAGACUGAGAUGAGCGCAGAGCCCAAUCUGGGGCUCAAUCUCAUCACCAAGAUCAUGACCUGAGCCAAAAAUAGGAGUCAGACACCUGACUGCACCACUUAGGUACCCCUAAAAAGUAGUGAUUUAAAAACGAAUUACCUAAAAUUUGCUGCACACUCACACAAACCAAAUGAUCCACAAAAGGUUCUUUUCUUCAAGGUUUUAUGAUGCAUCAUUAUCCCUAAACAGUUUCUUAAUAUUAAACUUAAACAGCAAAUUGAGACAAACAGUUCUGGGAUCACUCUUCUACCACUGAUUAAGACAGGGUGGCAGGUAUUAUGGAUAAUAUUCACUUAGUUUUGAGCUUUCUGGACAGACCUGAUGACCUCGCCAGCUCCAGCAGCCUUCUUGUUCACUGCUUUGUUUACACCCAUGAUAACUGUCUUACAUCACAAAGAGCCAAAUGACCCCAAGGACGAUAGAGAACCUCUCAACAUACAUGGGCCUGCCAAGAAUUCUAUCAACUAUGGCAGCAUCAACAGAUUUCAAGAAUUCAGGGCCAUUCAGCUUCCUCCCAGAACAGCAAUCUCCUUUGGCUCAGCAAACUUGCAAGCAGUGUGAAGCUGCAUGACAAUUCAGCACAGGGACAGCACCAACACCACCCGAUUUUGUGGAUGUCAUGGAGAAACAGGCACAAGCACCUAUCAGAUGGAUGAGCUGGUAGCAGGAUAUCCAGAACUACAAGCAGCAUGGUUCCACAGGCAUUUUCAUCUUUACAGUUCCAUUAAUCCAGAACGAAUGGGUUUCUCCCUGCAACCUGUCAAUCAAACAGAGGUGGCCAAUCACCACUCUGAAUUUUUUUUGCUCUCAGUGCUUCUUCAGACUAUGUUCCAGUUGAAACUUCUUUAG